rnacentral:lncRNA from 1 species
GUUAUUUGACAUCAAAUCAUCUUCUAUUCUUCUUGAUUCUUUUGUUGGUUUUUUUUUUCAUUUUAAAAUUUUUUUUUAUCACUCAAGUCUCAAUUUUUCUUUUUUUUAUUUUUAUUUUUAUUUUUGAUGUAGUGUUUAUUAUGAUGAUUUUAAAUUGGUGUUAUUAUUGUGUUAUUUAUUGUUUUUACUUUUUUUAAUUAAAAGAAAAAAAU